rnacentral:lncRNA from 1 species
AGUUGCCUUAACAGCAUGAGGAGGUGGAACUUACAACAGUAGGGACAUUGCAAAGUUCAGUGAAAUCAAAGAAAACCAUGGGAUAAACAGUCUUGAUUCGUUUAAGCAAUCUGGGAAAUUUACCUGUGAGGUUGCAGGAAUGUAUGUUUUCUUUGCUAGUAUGAUGUCUAAAUCAAACGAUGGAUUUUUUCAAUGGUACACAAUUUCAUGGUCACAAAGUGGUGUUUAUAUUUCACAUAGACCCCUUCAUAUGAAUCCGGAUUAGGCAUGUUGGCAGUUAAACUAAAUGUAGGCGACA